UUCCACAGGCGGCGCGCCCCGGCGGUGGUGUUGAAGCUUGACUUCGCCAAAGCUUUUGACUCCAUCAACUGGGCAAGUUUGCGGACUAUCAUGGAGGUUCGGGGGUUCCCGCCGCUCUGGUGCGCAUGGAUGGACUCCCUCUUCCACUCCUCGCGCUCGGUCGUCCUCCUCAACGGCGUGCCGGGGAGGUGGUUCCAGGUCGGCUGCAGCCUGCGGCAGGGGGACCCCGUCUCCCCUACCUCUUCAUCAUCGUCGCCGACGUCCUCCAACGCCUCAUCCGCCAUGAUGAUGUGCUUCGCCACCCCCUACUGCCGGAUGCUCCGGCGAUGGUGCUCCAGUACGCCGACGACACUCUGA
rnacentral:rRNA from 1 species